UUAGGAUGUCCACCUGGUUACAACUGUCAGUACGAUUACAUAACAAGGCGAUAUGAAUGUGUGAGAGAAGAUUGCAGACGAACUGGCUGUCCCCCUGGUUUAGUAUGUCGUCGGUUUGGAUUCACAGGAGCAUACGAGUGUGUUCGAGAUAAUACAAUAUGCCGAAGCGACAGAGACUGUCCAUUUGGGUACUACUGCAAUUUUAGAAGGCAAUGUGUACGUGAUAUCUUCCCAGGAGCAGCAGGAUCCGCCCCUCAAUCUUCAGCUACUCAGGCAACCUGAAACCGGAUUGUGUAUAUGAUCUGAAUUAAA